rnacentral:rRNA from 1 species
AACGAACGCUGGCGGCGCGCCUAAUACAUGCAAGUCGAGCGAGAAGACGUAGCAAUACGUUUGUAAAGCGGCGAACGGGUGAGGAAUACAUGGGUAACCUACCCUCGAGUGGGGAAUAACUAGCCGAAAGGUUAGCUAAUACCGCGUACGCUCCUUGGACUUCGGUUCAGGGAGGAAAGCGAUACCGUGGGUAUCGCGCUCUUGGAUGGGCUCAUGUCCUAUCAGCUUGUUGGUGAGGUAACGGCUCACCAAGGCUUCGACGGGUAGCUGGUCUGAGAGGACAAUCAGCCACACUGGCACUGCGACACGGGCCAGACUCCUACGGGAGGCAGCAGUAAGGAUAUUGCGCAAUGGGCGAAAGCCUGACGCAGCGACGCCGCGUGGGGGAU